rnacentral:rRNA from 1 species
AUUGAACGCUGGCGGCAUGCCUUACACAUGCAAGUCGAACGGCAGCACGGGAGCAAUCCUGGUGGCGAGUGGCGAACGGGUGAGUAAGGUAUCGGAACGUGCCCAGUCGUGGGGGAUAACGUAGCGAAAGUUACGCUAAUACCGCAUACGAUCUAUGGAUGAGAGCGGGGGAUCGCAAGACCUCGCGCGAUUGGAGCGGCCGAUAUCAGAUUAGGUAGUUGGUGGGGUAAAGGCUCACCAAGCCGACGAUCUGUAGCUGGUCUGAGAGGACGACCAGCCACACUGGGACUGAGACACGGCCCAGACUCCUACGGGAGGCAGCAGUGGGGAAUUUUGGACAAUGGGCGAAAGCCUGAUCCAGCCAUGCCGCGUGCAGGAUGAAGGCCUUCGGGUUGUAAACUGCUUUUGUACGGAACGAAAAGGUUUGGCCUAAUAAGCUGAGCUCAUGACGGUACCGUAAGAAUAAGCACCGGCUAACUACGUGCCAGCAGCCGCCGUAA